rnacentral:rRNA from 1 species
UACGUAGGUGGCAAGCGUUGUCCGGAAUUAUUGGGCGUAAAGCGCACGUAGGCGGCUCUAAAAGUCCCAUGUGAAAGCCCACGGCUUAACCGUGGAAGUGCAUGGGAAACUGUAGAGCUUGAGUACCAAAGAGGAUCGCGGAAUUCCCGGUGUAGAGGUGAAAUUCGUAGAUAUCGGGAGGAACACCAGUGGCGAAGGCGGCGAUCUGGGUGGUUACUGACGCUGAGGUGCGAAAGCGUGGGGAGCAAACAGG